CACGUAGGGCGCAAGCGUUUGUCCGGAAUUAUUGGGCGUAAAGAGCUCGUAGGCGGUCUGUUGCGUCCGCUGUGAAAACUCGGGCUUAACCCCGAGCCUGCAGUGGAUACGGGCAGACUAGAGGUAGGUAGGGGAGAAUGGAAUUCCCGGUGUAGCGGUGAAAUGCGCAGAUAUCGGGAGGAACACCGGUGGCGAAGGCGGUUCUCUGGGCCUUACCUGACGCUGAGGAGCGAAAGCGUGGGGAGCGAACAGG
rnacentral:rRNA from 1 species